UACAGAGGGGGCAAGCGUUAUUCGGAAUUAUUGGGCGUAAAGGGCGCGUAGGCGGCCUGGCAAGUGGAAGGUGAAAUCCCUCGGCUUAACCGAGGAACUGCCCUCCAAACUGCUUGGCUUGAGUCCGGGAGAGGUGAGUGGAAUUCCCAGUGUAGCGGUGAAAUGCGUAGAUAUCUGGAGGAACCCCGGUGGCGAAGGCGGCGUCCUGGACCAACACUGACACUGAGGAGCGAAAGCCAGGGGAGCAAACGGG
rnacentral:rRNA from 1 species